UAGUGUUACAAUGUCCGUUGGUGCGUGUGAGUACCUGUGCUGUGUGUUUUGGGCUUUCGUGCUUUCGUGCCUUCAGAUUACAGGUUUUGUCCCGUGUGUUAAUCAUUGUGCGCGUGUGUAUUUAUUCAAUGUACUCCUCACUCUUUUGUUUGGGUUUCAAUCCUGUUUUUUUGUACGUGGUUGUUUGGUCUUAGUCCCCGUUCCUUUUUACUGCACGCCGUAAUUUGGUGUAUAACAAAAAAAACUAUUACGCAUUCCUGCGCCUGUCUCCCGAAUCAUUGUUACCAACGUGACAUAAGCACAGCAGCCAUCUUCUUCCUUCCUGAGCUCUUCUAUGUAGAUUCCAGACGUCUCUACAUGGACAAGAUUUCAUCCUCCCUACACGCUGAUGAAUAUAACUGGAAACCUGUUCGAUCACCAUUCACUGCAAAAUCAUUCUUGCUAUGGAUACGAAGGAUAUCAACAUAUUAACACGCCAGAGAAAAUAUUGACUGAACUUGGAGCUCUGCUGGGAGUUUACCUAAUAUUUAUAUUUUUGAAUUCUGCUUUGCCACUAAAAUCAUAAUAAACAUUGACUACUAAACUAUUGUGUUAUUGUUAUGCUGAUUAAUAAUACAAAUAAUGGGGGGAAACCCCAAAGGGUUAUUCAAGGAACCAUUAAAGUUUUUUUUUAAGAACUUAAAGGUUCCCCCAGUUUCAAUUUGAAGAACCCCUAAAAGAUCUUCCAGGAACCUUUUCUUUUUAGAGUAUAAUACUUCUGAGCCAACUUUAUAACUCUGCCCAUAGCUUCUGGACUUUAUAGCAUUCCCAGAAGGCAUGGAUUAUUGAGUCGUUGUUAGUUUUACACUUAAGACAUGCCUCUGCCGUUGUGCUGUAGAAUUUGUGAAUUUUGUCUUGUAUAAUAUAUUCUGUACAUUUGUUUAUACUGGAUUAAAAGUACAAUGUUAGCUGUAAAUGUGUUAGUUAUGUUCCAACAUUCCUCCAUCGUGUGCUGAUAUCAGUUCUUUUUUAGUCUUGAUUCCAAUAGUUAAUUUUUUUCUAAGAGAUUGUCUGUUGGAUAGGCUCUCUGCAAGGUUUUAUAUGUCUUACCUAUCAAAUGAAUAUCCUUUUCUGACUCAAAUAGGAUCCCUUCAAGACACAGCAGAUCUGUUAUGUGAUGAGACAUAUCAUGAGCUGUUAGAGAGUGGAAUAAGAUAUGAACAUACUCUAUUUUCUUUUCUUUUACAACUAUUGUACUUUUCCUGCUGUGGGAGAACUAUACUAUAUCCUGAAUGAUGGAUAUGGCCUGCUGCCAUGUCUGUCAAUGCAUGACAUUUAGCACCAAGCAUAAAGGAGUCUAAUCUCCAUGCUUUCCCAUAUACUCCAGUGCCCAUAUGGCGACACAUGAGCGUAGAGAGUGCAGCCGAGCCCAACCCAGGAAGGCAUUGUACAUGUAAGGUCAGGCGAAGUGUUGACAGCCCCCUCUUUUAAUUACAUAGAGCUGAGAUCAGCACUAACAGUAAGGGUGUGUGUGUGUGUGUGUAUA